CCUACGGGAGGCAGCAGUGAGGAAUAUUGGUCAAUGGACGAGAGUCUGAACCAGCCAAGUAGCGUGAAGGAUGACUGCCCUAUGGGUUGUAAACUUCUUUUAUAGGGGAAUAAAAUGCACCACGCGCUGGUGUUUUGUAUGUACCCUACGAAUAAGGAUCGGCUAACUCCGUGCCAGCAGCCGCGGUAAU
rnacentral:rRNA from 1 species